AUUGGAAUUAUAAAGGAUUCAGUACAAAGAGUUUUCUUUUACUGAAUGAUAGAAAUCUUCAUUACUUUACAUUUUGGUUUUCAAACUCUUUAUAUAGAGCUGUAUCUAUUUGUCUAGCUGGCAGUGCCACAUCACCUAGCUGUAACUGACUGUGUAACAAACUUAAGCCAUGUCAGCAAAGACUACAACUAACCUUCUAACUAAUAUUUUCUGAUUACAUUGAGCUAUUCUAUUAUACUCUAAUA
rnacentral:lncRNA from 1 species